rnacentral:piRNA from 5 species
GGCUAAGAUCAAGUGUAGUAUCUG